UCCUACGGGAGGCAGCAGUAGGGAAUCUUCCACAAUGGACGAAAGUCUGAUGGAGCAACGCCGCGUGAGUGAAGAAGGGUUUCGGCUCGUAAAGCUCUGUUGGUAGCGAAGAAAGAUAGAGGUAGUAACUGGCCUUUAUUUGACGGUAAUUACUUAGAAAGUCACGGCUAACUACGUGCGGCAGCCGCGGUAAUACGUAGGUGGCAAGCGUUGUCCGGAUUCAUUUGGCGUAAAGCGAGUGCAGGCGGUUCAAU
rnacentral:rRNA from 1 species